GAUGAACGCUGGCGGCGUGCCUAAUACAUGCAAGUCGAGCGAACAGACGAGGAGCUUGCUCCUCUGACGUUAGCGGCGGACGGGUGAGUAACACGUGGAUAACCUACCUAUAAGACUGGGAUAACUUCGGGAAACCGGAGCUAAUACCGGAUAAUAUAUUGAACCGCAUGGUUCAAUAGUGAAAGACGGUUUUGCUGUCACUUAUAGAUGGAUCCGCGCCGCAUUAGCUAGUUGGUAAGGUAACGGCUUACCAAGGCAACGAUGCGUAGCCGACCUGAGAGGCUGAUCGGCCACACUGGAACUGAGACACGGUCCAGACUCCUACGGGAGGCAGCAGUAGGGAAUCUUCCGCAAUGGGCGAAAGCUUGACGGAGCAACGCCGCGUGAGUGAUGAAGGUCUUCGGAUCGUAAAGCUCUGUUAUUAGGGAAGAACAAAUGUGUAAGUAACUAUGCACGUCUUGACGGUACCUAAUCAGAAAGCCACGGCUAACUACGUG
rnacentral:rRNA from 1 species